rnacentral:rRNA from 1 species
GUCCACGCUGUAAACGAUGUCUACUUGGAGGUUGUGGCCUUGAGCCGUGGCUUUCGGAGCUAACGCGUUAAGUAGACCGCCUGGGGAGUACGGUCGCAAGAUUAAAACUCAAAUGAAUUGACGGGGGCCCGCACAAGCGGUGGAGCAUGUGGUUUAAUUCGAUGCAACGCGAAGAACCUUACCUACUCUUGACAUCCAGAGAAUCUAGCGGAGACGCUGGAGUGCCUUCGGGAACUCUGAGACAGGUGCUGCAUGGCUGUCGUCAGCUCGUGUUGUGAAAUGUUGGGUUAAGUCCCGCAACGAGCGCAACCCUUAUCCUUGUUUGCCAGCGAGUAAUGUCGGGAACUCCAGGGAGACUGCCGGUGAUAAACCGGAGGAAGGUGGGGACGACGCAAGUCAUCAUGGCCCUUACGAGUAGGGCUACACACGUGCUACAAUGGCGCAUACAGAGGGCKGCCAACUUGCGAAAGUGAGCGAAUCCCAAAAAGUGCGUCGUAGUCCGGAUUGGAGUCUGCAACUCGACUCCAUGAAGUCGGAAUCGCUAGUAAUCGUGGAUCAGAAUG